CGAAUACAUUGUAAGAGUUAAGGACAUCCUGGUCCUGCAUCCCAAUUACAGAGUCCUGUGUGGUGUAAAUGAUUAGCAAGCUUAGCUGCUAAGCAAAACGUUGGAUGUUUGAGUCCACUCAGAGGCACCUCAGAAGAAAGGCCUGUGAUCUAUGCUAUGGAGCACACAUGAGGUCAUAAUGAGUCGGAGUCGGCUCAACAGUAAGUAGUUAUCGAUUACACAGAGGAAAAUCUGAAACAUCAACGUAAGAGUUAAAUAGCUGUCAAGGACAAGCUGUGCAUACUGAAAGGUGCAAGCAAGUUAGGCAAACCAAACACAGGGGGCUAAAAAUGUCAGAAGGGGUUGUUGUUGGAUGUUAUUGAGUCGAUUCCAACUCACAGAGACCCUAUAGGACAGAGUAGAACAGUUCCAUAGGACUUCCAAUGAGCCGGUGAAUUUGAACUGCUGACCUUUUGGUUAGCAGCAAAGUUCUUAAGCACUAUGCCACCAGGUCUCCUCAGAAGGGGUAGUGUGCAGCAUUAUAAAGAGCCAUAAAGACAGAUCGACUAGCACUAGUCCCCUGGGAGGACCAGAGAUGUCCAGAGACUUGCCCAAGGCCAUACAGCAGAGCAAAGCCAGAUCAGACUAUUUGCAUGUGCAGACACCUGUGUGACGAGGUUUCCCUUCCUUAUGCCUCAGCAGCCUCCCUGACAGGCAGGCACAGCCCUGCAUUGGACCUGUGCCCUGAAGUCAGUAGCAUGGUGCUAUGGCCUGAGAAUAAGCUUUGAGUCAAAAAAGAGAGAGAUAAAAAAAAGCCCUCGCAUCCCAGUUCUGCCAAGUAUUUGCUGUGUGCUCCUAGGUGAGCUGUUUGCCCAUUCUCUCUAAUGGGGAUAAUAAAGCUAGCUUUACAGAGUUACUGUGAGCAGAAAGGCGUGACUGUAUGUAAAGCACUGAAUCCAGUGCUUAGCACCUUCUAGGUUCUGCAGAUGUGGUGGUUAGGCUUAUUACUUUCUUACCCCAGUUAUUUAGAGCCCUCUUAGGGAGCUGUGGGAACAAAAUUUCUGCUUUACCAAGAAUUUAGCUAUUAUCUUUCUCUCUGAAGAAAGCUGUCCUCCUUUUAUCUGAGACUGACAAACGAGGCUAUUCUGAGAAGAACUAAUUACAGCACACAUCCGCAGUGCCAUGGAAGAAAGCCUUGGUGAUCUGCUACUGCAAAGAGCCAGGAAAACCCUAUGGAGCACACUUCUUCUCUGUAACUCAUAGGAUCACUAUGAGUUGGAAUCAACACAAUGGCAGUGGAUUUUUUUUUUUUUUUGGUUAUCUUUCUUUCCAGCCACUCUUGGAUGAAGGCAGAGUGAGGAACACAAUUCUGGGUGAAGUGAGUUUGCUGUCCAUCUGGGGGCAGGAAAAUGAGUGCCGUGCACAUAGUCUCUUGUGUCUGUGACUGAGGGUGAGCCUCUGCCAUGCUAUACAUGGGAAAGCCAUCCUCCCGACUUUCCUGGUCACAGUAGGACAUGUGUGACAUACGGGGGACUUCACGGAUCUAGCUGCAGAUGAUACACUGCAUGACAGAUCUUGGCUGGAGGGACCCCAGCCAGUUUUACAAGUCUUGUUCUUGGAAUGUACCAGGUAAGCCAGGCUCCAGUGGUGACAAUCCAGGAGGAGCCAUCCUAUACCUACCUACUUUGUAAGGCCUUCAUAUCUGAAUUAAGCCAUGAGCUUCUUGAAAUGGGAAAUAACUCAUCAAGGGACUAUCGGCCCAAAGCAAAGCAUCCUGUCUUCUUCAGAAAGUAAAAGUUAAAGACAGUAAGACGUGGGAGAUGCCUUUCCCUCAGUCCUUAAAGGUCCUAACAACAGAGGAGACAACCAGCCUACAACAGUCUUCACCUUCUGUCAGAUGCUGGAGCUGGUGUCACUGAAGCUGAGAUGUAAAGAUAAGUGUUCCUUAGCAAACUUCUCCAAAGUCUUUCACAAGUCUCCCCCAGCCACAGAGGUCUCUCAAGACAUUUCAAAAGGGUGGGGAGUGGGGUGCCAACCUCAACAAGAUUUUUAAAACAGAAAGGCAGCCAGGAACAGUGACAGGGCAAGGGGCUUGGAGGUGGAAUGUCUGUAUUUAAGUCCCAGUUUUGCUACUAACCAGAGAAUCAUCUGUGAGCCUAUGUCCUCCUCCAUCAAGUGGGAACGCUAAUAAUCUCACAGGUGGCUAGAAGGUAAUAUCUUUCUUUGUAACUUUGAAAGAUUAAUAAAAGUGCUAGCUAUCCUUAUGAAUGACAAUAAAAUAACAUUUACUCAUCCGACUAUGACUACUUUUUCCAUUUCAGGUUUCUGUCUCCCCGUCUGCUCUGUAGACAUCCCAGUACCCAGUGCCGUCGAGUCGUAGGUUUCUGGAAUUCCAGAAACCUGUGCGGUCCUGAGAGCGGUCCUCCCAGGAGGCCUGUCACAGAAGGUGUUGGGGCUAAGCUCAUCAAGAACU